GAGGGUACAGCUCAAGUGGUAGAGUACAUGCUUAGCAUGCAUGAGGUCCAGGGUUCAAUCCCCAGUGUCUCCA
rnacentral:tRNA from 1 species